UUUUCUUUUAGUAAAACAAAAUCAUACUAUUUGUUUAUUGUGAAGUCAGAAAAUAUGAAGAUAAUUUGCAUCCAUUAGAAAUUAUUUUCAAGGCAUAUACGUACCCAUGUUCAUCAAGGCGGAGAUUUUGAGAAAAAGAUUUGGAACAUGCAAUCAUAUUUUUCUCUUCUAAAAAAUUCAUUUGUUCUAAUGAGAUUGGAGAACGAGGUGC
rnacentral:lncRNA from 1 species